rnacentral:rRNA from 1 species
UGACGCUAGCUACAGGCUUAACACAUGCAAGUCGAGGGGAAACGAUAUUGGAAGCUUGCUUCCGAUAGGCGUCGACCGGCGCACGGGUGAGUAACGCGUAUCCAACCUGCCCACCACUUGGGGAUAACCUUGCGAAAGUAAGACUAAUACCCAAUGAUAUCUCUAGAAGACAUCUGAAGGAGAUUAAAGAUUUAUCGGUGAUGGAUGGGGAUGCGUCUGAUUAGCUUGUUGGCGGGGUAACGGCCCACCAAGGCUACGAUCAGUAGGGGUUCUGAGAGGAAGGUCCCCCACAUUGGAACUGAGACACGGUCCAAACUCCUACGGGAGGCAGCAGUGAGGAAUAUUGGUCAAUGGGCGAGAGCCUGAACCAGCCAAGUAGCGUGCAGGAUGACGGCCCUAUGGGUUGUAAACUGCUUUUAUAAGGGAAUAAAGUGAGUCUCGUGAGACUUUUUGCAUGUACCUUAUGAAUAAGGACCGGCUAAUUCCGUGCCAGCAGCCGCGGUAAUACGGAAGGUCCGGGCGUUAUCCGGAUUUAUUGGGUUUAAAGGGAGCGUAGGCCGGAGAUUAAGCGUGUUGUGAAAUGUAGACGCUCAACGUCUGCACUGCAGCGCGAACUGGUUUCCUUGAGUACGCACAAAGUGGGCGGAAUUCGUGGUGUAGCGGUGAAAUGCUUAGAUAUCACGAAGAACUCCGAUUGCGAAGGCAGCUCACUGGAGCGCAACUGACGCUGAAGCUCGAAAGUGCGGGUAUCGAACAGGAUUAGAUACCCUGGUAGUCCGCACGGUAAACGAUGGAUGCCCGCCGUUGGUCUGAAUAGGUCAGCGGCCAAGCGAAAGCAUUAAGCAUCCCACCUGGGGAGUACGCCGGCAACGGUGAAACUCAAAGGAAUUGACGG